rnacentral:rRNA from 1 species
AGAGUUUGAUCAUGGCUCAGGAUGAACGCUGGCGGCGUGCCUAACACAUGCAAGUCGAGCGAGACGGUCAUGAAAGAUCCUUCGGGUGAUUGAUUGACUAGAAAGCGGCGGACGGGUGAGUAACGCGUGAGUAACCUGCCUUAUACACAGGGAUAGCCAUUGGAAACGAUGAUUAAUACCUGAUAAUACCAUACCAACACGUGUUGGAAUGGUCAAAGAUUUAUCGGUAUAAGAUGGACUUGCGUCUGAUUAGUUAGUUGGUGAGGUAACGGCUCACCAAGGCAACGAUCAGUAGCCGACCUGAGAGGGUGAUCGGCCACACUGGAACUGAGACACGGUCCAGACUCCUACGGGAGGCAGCAGUGGGGAAUAUUGCACAAUGGGCGCAAGCCUGAUGCAGCAACGCCGCGUGAACGAAGAAGGCCUUCGGGUCGUAAAGUUCUUUUCUUAGGGAAGAAAAAAAUGACGGUACCUAAGGAAUAAGCACCGGCUAACUACGUGCCAGCAGCCGCGGUAAUACGUAGGGUGCAAGCGUUAUCCGGAAUCACUGGGCGUAAAGGGUGCGUAGGCGGCCUUGCAAGUCAGAAGUGAAAGGCUACGGCUCAACCGUAGUAAGCUUUUGAAACUGUAAGGCUAGAGUGAAGGAGAGGAAAGUGGAAUUCCUAGUGUAGAGGUGAAAUUCGUAGAUAUUAGGAGGAACACCAGUGGCGAANGCNACUUUCUGGACUUUAACUGACGCUGAUGCACGAAAGCGUGGGGAGCAAACAGGAUUAGAUACCCUGNUAGUCCACGCCGUANCGAUGAAUACUAGNNGUCGGGGGUCGAACCUCGNUGCCGCAGCUAANGCAUUANUAUUCCGCCNGGGGAGUA